GACGAACGCUGGCGGCGUGCCUAAUACAUGCAAGUAGAACGCUGAAGGAGGAGCUUGCUCUUCUGGAUGAGUUGCGAACGGGUGAGUAACGCGUAGGUAACCUGCCUGGUAGCGGGGGAUAACUAUUGGAAACGAUAGCUAAUACCGCAUAACAGUAGAUGUUGCAUGACAUUUGCUUAAAAGGUGCAAUUGCAUCACUACCAGAUGGACCUGCGUUGUAUCAGCUAGUUGGUGGGGUAGCGGCUCACCAAGGCGACGAUACAUAGCCGCCCUGAGAGGGUGAUCGGCCACACUGGGGCUGAGGAACGGCCCAGACUCCUACGGGAGGUAGCAGUAGGGAAUCUUCGGCAAUGGACGGAAGUCUGACCGAGCAACGCCGCGUGAGUGAAGAAGGUUUUCGGAUCGUAAAGCUCUGUUGUAAGAGAAGAACGAGUGUGAGAGUGGAAAGUUCACACUGUGACGGUAUCUUACCAGAAAGGGACGGCUAACUACGUGCCAGCAGCCGCAGUAA
rnacentral:rRNA from 1 species